rnacentral:rRNA from 1 species
UUGAGGGGUUAAGGCUCCCAGUAGACGACUGGGUUGAUAGGCCGGAUCUGGAAGCACCGCAAGGUGUGGAGGUGACCGGUACUAAUAGGCCGAGGGCUUGUCCUC